rnacentral:rRNA from 1 species
UGCGUAGGCGGCUAGGUAAGUCACGUGUGAAAGGCCGGGGCUCAACCCCCGGAUCUGCAUGUGAGACUGUCUGGCUCGAGCAUGGUAGAGGCGGGCGGAAUUCCUGGUGUAGCGGUGGAAUGCGUAGAGAUCAGGAAGAACACCGGUGGCGAAGGCGGCUCGCUGGGCCAUUGCUGACGCUGAGGCACGAAAGCGUGGGGAGCAAACAGGAUUAGAUACCCUGGUAGUCCACGCCCUAAACGAUGGACACUAGGCGUCGGGGGGGAGCGGACCCUCCCGGUGCCGUCGCUAACGCAAUAAGUGUCCCGCCUGGGGAGUACGGCCGCAAGGCUGA